rnacentral:misc_RNA from 1 species
GAUGAAGAACGCAGCGAAAUGGGAUAAGUAAUGUGAAUUGCAGAAUUCAGUGAAUCAUCGAAUCUUUGAACGCACAUUGCGCCCCCUGGUAUUCCGGGGGGCAUGCCUGUUCGAGCGUCAUUUCACCACUCAAGCCUCGCUUGGUAUUGGGCAACGCGGUCCGCCGCGUGCCUCAAAUCGACCGGCUGGGUCUUCUGUCCCCUAAGCGUUGUGGAAACUAUUCGCUAAAGGGUGUUCGGGAGGCUACGCCGUAAAACAACCCCAUUUCUAAGGUUGACCUCGGAUCAGGAAGGGAUACCCGCUGAACUUAAGCAUAUCAAUAAGCGGAGGA